AACGAACGCUGGCGGCAUGCCUAACACAUGCAAGUCGAACGAGACCUUCGGGUCUAGUGGCGCACGGGUGCGUAACGCGUGGGAACCUGCCCUUAGGUUCGGAAUAACUCCCCGAAAGGGGUGCUAAUACCGGAUAAUGUCUUCGGACCAAAGAUUUAUCGCCUUUGGAUGGGCCCGCGUUGGAUUAGCUAGUUGGUAGGGUAAAAGCCUACCAAGGCGACGAUCCAUAGCUGGUCUGAGAGGAUGAUCAGCCACACUGGGACUGAGACACGGCCCAGACUAUUACGGGAGGGAGCAGUGGGGAAUAUUGGAAAAUGGGCGAAAGGAUGAUCAAGCAAGGCCGGGUGAGUGAUGAAGGCGGGAGGGUUGCAAAGCUCUUUUAUCCGGGAUGAUAAUGACAGUACCGGGAGAAUAAGCACCGGCUAACUCCGUG
rnacentral:rRNA from 1 species